rnacentral:rRNA from 1 species
AUGGUGGUGGUGGCGACGGCGAGCCCCGGCGGGCCGGAGGCGCUGCAGGUGCGCGAGGUCGAGGACCUCCCGGCGCCGGGGGAGGGCGAGGUGCUUGUCGGGGUGGCCGCCGCCGGCGUCAAUCGUGGCGACACGGUCCAGUGGCAGGGCCGGUACCCGCCGGCGGCCGGCGCCUCGCCCUACCCGGGCGGUUAA